rnacentral:rRNA from 1 species
AUCUUCCGCAAUGGACGAAAGUCUGACGGAGCAACGCCGCGUGAACGAUGACGGCCUUCGGGUUGUAAAGUUCUGUUAUACGGGACGAAUGGUACGACGGCCAAUACCCGUCGUAAGUGACGGUACCGUAAGAGAAAGCCACGGCUAACUACGUGCCAGCAGCCGCGGUAAUACGUAGGUGGCAAGCGUUGUCCGGAAUUAUUGGGCGUAAAGGGCGCGCAGGCGGCGUCGUAAGUCGGUCUUAAAAGUGCGGGGCUUAACCCCGUGAGGGGACCGAAACUGCGAUGCUAGAGUAUCGGAGAGGAAAGCGGAAUUCCUAGUGUAGCGGUGAAAUGCGUAGAUAUUAGGAGGAACACCAGUGGCGAAAGCGGCUUUCUGAACGACAACUGACGCUGAGGCGCGAAAGCCAGGGGAGCAAACGGG